rnacentral:misc_RNA from 1 species
UGGCGCUCAAUGGUGGUGAUGCCAGUGGGAAGUGCAAAGGCAAUAAGAAAUAAAGCAAUGCUUCGGCACUGUAAUUGGAAACAUUUUGGAGUUGAUCUUCAACGCUUUCUCCCAGAUUCCUUUGAGACCUUUCAAAAACCUUUUAAUUUCCCAAAUAGCAACCCAAAUCAACUGUGUCAGUUAUAAAGAAAGAAAUCAGAAUUGUAGUU